CGGCAACGCUCAAAUUUGAAAUCUGGCCCUCGGGUCCGAGUUGUAAUUUGCAGAGGAUGCUUUGGGCGAGGCGCCGUCCGAGUUCCCUGGAACGGGACGCCGGAGAGGGUGAGAGCCCCGUACGGUCGGACGCCGAGCCUCUGUAAAGCUCCUUCGACGAGUCGAGUAGUUUGGGAAUGCUGCUCUAAAUGGGAGGUAAAUCUCUUCUAAAGCUAAAUACAGGCCACAGACCGAUAGCGCACAAGUAGAGUGAUCGAAAGAUGAAAAGCACUUUGAAAAGAGAGUUAAACAGCACGUGAAAUUGUUGAAAGGGAAGCGCUUGUGACCAGACGUGUGCCGGGUAAAUCAGCUAGCGUUCGCGCUAGUGCACUUUGCCCGGCACAGGCCAGCAUCGGUUCGCCGCUGGGGAGAAAGGCAGUGGGAAUGUGGCUCUUCGGAGUGUUAUAGCCCGCUGCGUAAUACCCUACGGCGGACCGAGGUUCGCGCUCUGCAAGGAUGCUGGCGUAAUGGUCACCAGCGACCCGUCUUGAAACACGGACCAAGGAGUCGUCCUAGUAUGCGAGUGUUUGGGUGCAAAACCCCUACGCGAAAUGAAAGUGAACGGAGGUGAGAGCUUCGGCGCAUCAUCGACCGAUCCUGAUGUUCUCGGAUGGAUUUGAGUACGAGCAUACUGGGCCGGACCCGAAAGAAGGUGAACUAUGCCUGUAUAGGGUGAAGCCAGAGGAAACUCUGGUGGAGGCUCGCAGCGGUUCUGACGUGCAAAUCGAUCGUCAAAUAUGGGCAUGGGGGCGAAAGACUAAUCGAACCUUCUAGUAGCUGGUUUCCGCCGAAGUUUCC
rnacentral:rRNA from 1 species